rnacentral:rRNA from 1 species
AACGAACGCUGGCGGCAUGCCUAACACAUGCAAGUCGAACGAGACCUUCGGGUCUAGUGGCGCACGGGUGCGUAACGCGUGGGAAUCUGCCCUUGGGUUCGGGAUAACAGUUGGAAACGACUGCUAAUACCGGAUGACGUCUUCGGACCAAAGAUUUAUCGCCCAGGGAUGAGCCCGCGUCGGAUUAGCUAGUUGGUAGGGUAAAAGCCUACCAAGGCGACGAUCCGUAGCUGGUCUGAGAGGAUGAUCAGCCACACUGGGACUGAGACACGGCCCAGACUCCUACGGGAGGCAGCAGUGGGGAAUAUUGGACAAUGGGCGAAAGCCUGAUCCAGCAAUGCCGCGUGAGUGAUGAAGGCCUUAGGGUUGUAAAGCUCUUUUACCCGGGAUGAUAAUGACAGUACCGGGAGAAUAAGCCCCGGCUAACUCCGUGCCAGCCGCCGCCGUAA